UGCUCAACACGUGUAUUGUACUUCAUUCAAGCCCUUCAAAUUUCCUCUUUUCGAUGACACGUUUUUACCCUUUUUAUUUGAGUGGGACAGUUGGCUUCCACUUAGCUUUUAUUUCCAUUUCAUUGUACUUCCUCAUUGCAUGAUUCUGAGACUUCCUCUAUUGUUUGCUCUCAAGAUGCUAUGAAUAUAGUUCUUGGUGGUGGAAGAAAUUUGAAUAUGAAUGGAAAGCGUGCCUAUGAAAAACAAGUAUGGAUGAACACAAAAACUGAUAGCUCAUAAUCUUUUGAAUAAGUGGUAAGACUUUAUUACAGUGUUUAGUAAGUGCAAUUCAUACGAGCAAAUUAGUAUUGUGUAACUACAUUUGUAAUAUAGUUACUAAGCUUGCAGUUCUUAGUCAGCCCCAUUAUAGCCUCGGUGUACAUAUCUCUAACAAAAGAGCUUGCAGAACUAAUUAAGAAAAAAGAGAGAUACUUCAUUUUAUAUUUAUUUGUAUUUGUGAUUUGCUAUAGAGUAGAAUCAAUCCUUGCUGCUUCAGUUACGAGCUUGAUAUAGCAAAUGAUCACGUUUUUAAUUGUUGUUGACUGACGUUUAUAAUUUUAAGCUGUAACAGUUAAUUUCGCUACAUUUUUCUUGAGGUAAUUGAUUAAAAAUAUACUAAGAAAAGCUAAUGAAAGGUAUGGUCUUUUUUGUUAGGACAGCUAGCGAUAAAGUGCUUGAUUUCUGGAUUGGCAAUUUGAAGCUCUUUAACAAGGCCAAAAAAGUUAUUUCAAAUUUGCUAAGUCAAGAUUACUCUUGUCUCAGAGAAGAAGCAUCCAAGAGCACUACAAAAAUAGGAACGUGGAAAAGUCAAAGCUGCAUGACUGCUCACAAUUGCCAGAUGAGAAGUUAAUGGGGCUACUAAUAUGUUAACAUAUAUGUAUUGAAUUUUACAGUGGUUCUAGGUUGCUCUGAUUUGGAAAAGCCUUAAUUAACAGAAAUUGUUAGCUUUGCCUUCGAAUAUCUGAGCAUGGGACUCUACCUGGUAGUGCAAUAACUGAAGCUGAGUAGUGGAAGGGCCAUGAAAACUGAAGCCUACCUCCACCAGCUACAAAAGCCAGGAUACCUCUGUGUGAGCCUUACAUUGGUAGAGUUCAAUACGUAUACGCAAAUUGACUGGGCCAAAAUUCAAAGCACUUUUGAAGUGGUUAAUCUCUCGCCUUAAAGUCGCGUGAAGCUACAAUUUUCCUCCUUUGCCUACUGAAUGAAAGCACAAUUUUUCUUUUGUUACUCCAAAUUGCACUGCUACAGUGUCUUUGUGCUCAAAUCUUGAUUCUUUUUCUUUUUUUUUUUUUUGGGGGGGGGGGG